rnacentral:rRNA from 1 species
GAUCCUGGCUCAGGACGAACGCUGGCGGCGUGCCUAACACAUGCAAGUCGAACGGAGAUAAAGAUUUCGGUUUUUAUCUUAGUGGCGCACGGGUGAGUAACACGUGAAUAACCUGACCCAAAGAGGGGGAUAACACCUGGAAACAGGUGCUAAUACCGCAUAAGACCACAAUGUCGCAUGACGAAGGGGUCAAAGAAAAUCGCUUUGGGAGGGGUUUCGCGUCCCAUUAGGUAGUAGGCGGGGUAAUAGCCCACCUAGCCGACGA